rnacentral:tRNA from 1 species
AGUGAUUUGGCAGAUUAGUGUUUUAAAUUUAGAAUUUAAUAAAGUACUUAUUAUAGUACAUUCACUA